rfam:Bacillus sp. VT-16-70 Bacillus_obstructivus_contig036, whole genome shotgun sequence.
UAAGUCCUGAUGUGUACGUUCCAUGUACCUAUUCGUUUUGACCGAACAUAUUAACAAUGGGAGUUUGGAGUUUUCAUGUGGCAUACAUGCCUUAUUGAUAAGGACGUAUAAAGCUGGAACAGAACACCCACCUGCUUUUAGAGCGGGUUCAAAACAUUAGGAUUUUACGACGGCAUGAUUGGGGCUUAU